AGUGAACGCUGGCGGUAGGCCUAACACAUGCAAGUCGAACGGCAGCACAGUAAGAGCUUGCUCUUACGGGUGGCGAGUGGCGGACGGGUGAGGAAUACAUCGGAAUCUACUUUUUCGUGGGGGAUAACGUAGGGAAACUUACGCUAAUACCGCAUACGACCUACGGGUGAAAGCAGGGGAUCUUCGGACCUUGCGCGAUUGAAUGAGCCGAUGUCGGAUUAGCUAGUUGGCGGGGUAAAGGCCCACCAAGGCGUCGAUCCGUAGCUGGUCUGAGAGGAUGAUCAGCCACACUGGAACUGAGACACGGUCCAGACUCCUACGGGAGGCAGCAGUGGGGAAUAUUGGACAAUGGGCGCAAGCCUGAUCCAGCCAUACCGCGUGGGUGAAGAAGGCCUUCGGGUUGUAAAGCCCUUUUGUUGGGAAAGAAAAGCAGCAAGUUAAUACCCCGCUGUUCUGGCGGUACCCAAAGAAUAAGCACCGGCUAACUUCGUG
rnacentral:rRNA from 1 species